UGCCAUAAAAUAUCUUUCUUGAUUCCAGGAUCCCAGGCAAUGAAUGGGCGCUCAACCAAGCAAAACAAAAUUUAGUAAAUAAUUAUUUCUUAGUCGGUGUAACGGAACAAAUGGAAGAUUUCAUCAAUUUAUUGGAACUUUCACUGCCGAGAAUAUUCAACGGAACGUUGGACCACUAUCUGAAUUCGAGCAAGUCGCAUCUGCGACAGACGGCAUCGAAACUGCAACCGACUAGCAAAACAAUAAGUGAUAUAACAAAGUCUCCCAUUUGGAAAAUGGAAAACGAACUGUACGAAUUUGCGUUGCAGCAAUUUCAUUUUUUGUACAAAUUGCGCAACAACAUCCGAUUACAAGGGAAGAAUUUGACGCAGAAAUAUUUUUAUGAGAAAAUUCGACCAAAGUAAAGUCGAUUGGAUUUGACCGUUGAAGUGAUGAUAGUGGACGGACGACGAAAAAGUUGAACAAGAAAAUGUUUGCUGGAUAUAAUGAAGCAGUGAACGUAAUUUGAUGUAGUUCCAAUGCACAAUUGUUGAUCACAAGCGAAUUGUGUAGUGUACAAAAUGUGAAUAAAAUCCUGUAAAUUAAGAAACGUACGACCCGUAAGUUUAUUUGUCUUCCAGCUUAAUUACAUCAGAUUUGUAUAGUGUUCGCAAUAAAUAUACAUGUUGUGUACC